rnacentral:rRNA from 1 species
UACGUAGGGCGCAAGCGUUGUCCGGAAUUAUUGGGCGUAAAGAGCUCGUAGGCGGCCAGUUGCGUCCGCUGUGAAAUCCCGGGGCUUAACCCCGGGCGUGCAGUGGAUACGGGCUGGCUAGAGGCAGGCAGGGGAGAACGGAAUUCCUGGUGUAGCGGUGAAAUGCGCAGAUAUCAGGAGGAACACCGGUGGCGAAGGCGGUUCUCUGGGCCUGUACUGACGCUGAGGAGCGAAAGCGUGGGGAGCGAACAGG